rnacentral:rRNA from 1 species
AGUGAACGCUGGCGGCGUGCCUAAUACAUGCAAGUCGAACGGAGUGGGGCACGGGUGGGGAAUGUAAAACUAAUCUUCCCUACACCUAAGGACAACAGGUGGAAACGGCUUGUAAAACUUCAUAGUGUAGGAUGAGGCUAUAUUGUAUCAGCUAGUUGGUGAGGUUAUGGCUUACCAAGGCCAUGACGCAUAACUGGUCUGAGAGGAUGAUCAGUCACACUGGAACUGAGACACGGUCCAGACUCCUACGGGAGGCAGCAGUAGGGAAUAUUGCUCAAUGGGGGAAACCCUGAAGCAGCAACGCCGCGUGGAGGAUGACACUUUUCGGAGCGUAAACUCCUUUUGUUAGGGAAGCGGUACCUAACGAAUAAGCACCGGCUAACUCCGUGCCAGCAGCCGCGGUAAUAC